CACGUGGCCAGGAAGUUAUUCUAAUUAACUUCAACUAUACCAUCAACCCUCCCCCCCCUCUCUCCUGUAUAAAUUCGAAGGGAGGCAAAGGCCCAUCUUCAACCUCAUUUGUCCAAAGCAGUUAAUAUUUCCCUCCAUUAUUUUUCUCUCGCUCCGCUCCCCAAGAUUCUGCAUUCAAAAAACACUAAUUAAUCGGCACUCAUGGGAAGUGUUAGUGAUGCUGAGAAGAAGCCUGCUGUUAUUUUUGUUUUGGGUGGCCCUGGCAGUGGAAAGGGUACCCAGUGUGCCAAUGUUGUUGAACACUUUGGUUACACUCAUCUCAGUGCUGGAGAUCUUCUUCGAGCAGAAAUUAAAUCUGGCUCUGAAAAUGGAACCAUGAUUCAGAACAUGAUUAAGGAGGGAAAGAUAGUGCCUUCAGAGGUAACAAUAAAGCUCCUCCAAAAAGCAAUGCAGGAAAGUGGAAAUGACAAAUUUCUGAUUGAUGGUUUUCCCCGCAAUGAGGAAAACCGAGCUGCGUUUGAGGCUGUUACCAAAAUUGAACCAGCAUUUGUCCUGUUCUUUAAUUGUCCUGAAGAGGAGAUGGAGAAGCGCAUUUUGAGCAGGAACCAGGGAAGAGAAGAUGAUAACAUUGAAACUAUAAGGAAGCGGUUUAAUGUUUUUCUAGAGUCCAGUCUUCCUGUGGUUGAGUACUAUGACUCAAAGGGGAAAGUUAGGAAGGUUGAUGCGGCAAAGUCUGUUGAAGAGGUUUUUGAGGCAGUUAAAGCCAUCUUUACACCAAAAGAGGAGAAGGUAAAGCACCAUAGCUAUGCUAUCUUGUAGGCAUUUCAUUAUGAAUGGAGAGUCAAAUCUUGAUCGAAGAAUGCAUUUUAGUUUGUGAAUAUACCAUUAGAAAUGCGAGCUGAAUCAAGCUUUGUUUUCUAUCGGUGCAGAAUGAGAUGCAUAUUAUUUUAUUGCCAUGACUUAUUCGACAUGCAUUUGUGGCAUGAAUAUUAGUAGUUGAUUGUUUAUGAUAGAUUUCAGCCCAUGAAUUGAAAAUAACCUCACAUUAAAAGUCAGCCUAUAUGCUUCCUUGAAGAAGCUUUUGCAAACCUUUAGUUUCUUGAUAGGAUCUAUAGUUGCCAUCCAAUUACCUUUUAUUUCCCGGGUGCUGAAUGCAAUCAGGAUUCUUCUAAAAGGUGCGUGCAUGCGUGUGACAAAGCAUAGAACUUAGAAGGAACAUUUGUUGUGCAAGUUUGAGGCUUGCAAAGGCAUUCUUAAUGCAACAAUGCUUACUUUUAUAGCACCGUUUUGGACCCUCCAGGAAUGCUCAAGUGAGAUGAAUACUGAGUAAUGACCUUUAUGUGGCCAGAUACGAUGUGAAUGCAUGCAAUAUAUACCAUCCUAGCAUAUAAAACAAGAAAUUGCGUGUGUGAUCUUGAACUUUGCCAUAGGAUAUAGGGAAGAACUUUCAUUUUCUGAUACAUAUGGCCCACCAGUAACAGAAACUUCUCUUGAACAUAACAAAAAGGUAAUUCAAUGUUCAUAGAGAUAUCAUGAACUCAGGUUUUAUGGAAAAGGUAUAAAAAAUUGAGGACAAUUCAAGUAUGGAGAAAAUAAUGCUUAGGAAUCAUAUGGAAAUACAAAAUGGGCUGCUGUAUUAAUAAUGGUCUGUUCGUGAAAUUUCGGCACAAUAAACUAAAUUUCUUAUGCUCAACAGGUAAUUGCUGCAUAAUUUGUGGUUUCAACAGGAAAAUUUAUAUUGACAUGACCCUGCAAUAUUUGGCUUUUGAUAACACCUUUUCCUAGUGUUUUAGUUUAUUUCUUAAAAUUGUAAACAUACAAGCAUAAGGAACAAAAUGAAGAUCAUGUUGUGGAUUAUACUUGUGGUGUUUGCAGGUUGCUGUUUAGGGGUUUCCUUUGUACCAGAUAUAUCAAACUGAAUAUCUACUAAGGUGAUAAUCUCUUAUGGUUGGCUUGCUUUGUACUUUAUUGGGAAGGUAUAGUUUAUCGUGUGGACUUUUCUGCCACACGUUUGCGUCUUAUCAUAGCAGGUUUAGUUUAUGUCAUGAGGUAUUUACCUCGAUAUUCUUGUUCCUGUGACUGGUUUCUAAUAAGAAAUAGUAAUAGAGCACUAAUAAUGCUACUUUUCCUCUUUGGGCUACAA